UCUCCGUUGGUGAACCAGCGGAGGGAUCAUUACCGAGUUUACAACUCCCAAACCCAAUGUGAACCAUACCAAACUGUUGCCUCGGCGGGGUCACGCCCCGGGUGCGUCGCAGCCCCGGAACCAGGCGCCCGCCGGAGGGACCAACCAAACUCUUUCUGUAGUCCCCUCGCGGACGUUAUUUUUACAGCUCUGAGCAAAAAUUCAAAAUGAAUCAAAACUUUCGACAACGGAUCUCUUGGUUCUG
rnacentral:misc_RNA from 1 species